GUCGUAACAAGGUUUCCGUAGGUGAACCUGCGGAAGGAUCAUUAUUGAAUGAACUUGGUGUGGUUGUUGCUGGCUCUUUCGAGGGCAUGUGCACGCCCACCAUCCUCAUCUCUCCACCUGUGCACCUCUUGUAGACUUGGAUUGACUUUCCGAGGCAACUCGGUCGGGAGGAUUGCCGGCGCCAGCUGGCUUUCUUUGCAUUUCCAGGUCUACGUUUUUCAUAUACCCCAUUGUAUGUAACAGAAUGUAACAUUGGGCACUUGUGCCUAUAAACUUUAUACAACUUUCAGCAACGGAUCUCUUGGCUCUCGCAUCGAUGAAGAACGCAGCGAAAUGCGAUAAGUAAUGUGAAUUGCAGAAUUCAGUGAAUCAUCGAAUCUUUGAACGCACCUUGCGCUCCUUGGUAUUCCGAGGAGCAUGCCUGUUUGAGUGUCAUUAAAUUCUCAACCUUUAUCAACUUUUGUUGAUAAUGGCUUGGAUAUGGGGGUUUAUUUUGCUGGCUUCUUUACAGAUGGUCAGCUCCCCUUAAAUGCAUUAGCCGGUGCCCCGCGUGGACUGUCUAUUGGUGUGAUAAUUAUCUACGCCGUCGACAUCUGCAAUCAUAUGGGUUUGCACUGCUUCCAACUGUCUGUUGAAUCAGACAAUACAUGACAAUUUGACCUCAAAUCAGGAUAGGACUACCCGCU
rnacentral:rRNA from 1 species